rnacentral:rRNA from 1 species
AAUCAACGCUGGCGGCGUGCCUCAGACAUGCAAGUCGAACGCGAAAUUUCCCUUCGGGGAGAAAGUAGAGUGGCGCACGGGUGAGUAACACGUAGGUAAUUUGCCUUUGGGUGGGGAAUAACUCAGGGAAACUUGAGCUAAUACCGCAUAAUGCAGCGGCUCGACAUCGAGACAGCUGUUAAAGCGGGGGAUCGCAAGACCUCGCGCCUAAAGAGAAGCCUGCGGCAGAUUAGCUAGUUGGUAAGGUAAUGGCUUACCAAGGCGACGAUCUGUAACCGGCCUGAGAGGGCGGUCGGUCACACUGACACUGACAUACGGGUCAGACUCCUACGGGAGGCAGCAGUCGGGAAUUUUGGGCAAUGGGCGAAAGCCUGACCCAGCAACGCCGCGUGAAGGAUGAAAUUUUUCGGAAUGUAAACUUCGCAAGAACAGGAAGAAUAAGUAGAAGCGAAUACCUUCUAUGAUGACGGUACUGUUUGUAAGCUCCGGCUAACUCCGUGCC